rnacentral:rRNA from 1 species
CACCUACGGGUGGCAGCAGUGGGGAAUAUUGGACAAUGGGCGCAAGCCUGAUCCAGCAAUACCGCGUGUGUGAAGAAGGCCUGAGGGUUGUAAAGCACUUUUAAUAGGGAGGAACACCUGUAGGCUAAUACCCUGCAGCAUGACAUUACCUAUAGAAAAAGCACCGGCUAACUCCGUGCCAGCAGCCGCGGUAAUACGGAGGGUGCAAGCGUUAAUCGGAAUUACUGGGCGUAAAGCGUGCGUAGGCGGUUAUUUAAGUCAGAUGUGAAAGCCCCGGGCUUAACCUGGGAACUGCAUUUGAUACUGGGUAACUCGAGUUUAGUAGAGGAGAGUGGAAUUUCAGGUGUAGCGGUGAAAUGCGUAGAGAUCUGAAGGAACACCAGUGGCGAAGGCGACUCUCUGGACUAAAACUGACGCUGAGGUACGAAAGCGUGGGUAGCAAACAGGAUUAGAUACCCUGGUAGUCCACGCCGUAAACGAUGUCAACUAGCCGUUGGUUCUAUUCGUAGAAUUAGUGGCGCAGCUAACGCAUUAAGUUGACCGCCUGGGGAGUACGGCCGCAAGGUUAAAACUCAAAUGAAUUGACG